rnacentral:rRNA from 1 species
UACAGCGGGUGCAAGCGUUAAUCGGAAUUACUGGGCGUAAAGCGUGCGUAGACGGUUGCGUAAGUCAGAUGUGAAAGCCCCGGGCUCAACCUGGGAAUUGCAUUUGAGACUGCGUAGCUAGGGUGCGGAAGAGGGAAGCGGAAUUUCCGGUGUAGCGGUGAAAUGCGUAGAUAUCGGAAGGAACACCAGUGGCGAAAGCGGCUUCCUGGUCCAGCACCGACGUUCAGGCACGAAAGCGUGGGGAGCAAACAGG